rnacentral:rRNA from 1 species
GACGAACGCUGGCGGCGUGCUUAACACAUGCGAGUCGAACGAAAAGGCCCGGCUCUUGUGGGUUGCUCGAGUGGCGAGCGGGUGAGUGACACGUGAGUAACCUGCCCUUAUCUGUGGGAUAACAUCAGGAAACUGGGGCUCAUACCGCGUAGAAGAUACUGCAGCGCAUGGGGGAUUGGAAAGUGUCGGCGGUUGUGGAUGGACUCGCGGCUUAUCAGCUUGUUGGUGGGGUAGUGGCUUACCAAGCCUUCGACGGGUAGCCCGCCUGAGAGGGUGACCGGCCACAUUGGGCCUGCGAUACGGCGCAGACUCCUACGGGAGGCAGCAGUGGGGAAUAUUGCACAACGGGCGGAAGUCUGAGGCAGCAACGCCGCGUGCGGGAUGACGGGUUUCGGGGUGUAAACAGCUUUCGAAGGAGACGAAGCGGGAGUGACGGUAACGGGUAAAGAAGCACCGGCUAACUACGUG